rnacentral:rRNA from 1 species
UACGGGAGGCAGCAGUGGGGAAUAUUGCACAAUGGGCGCAAGCCUGAUGCAGCCAUGCCGCGUGUAUGAAGAAGGCCUUCGGGUUGUAAAGUACUUUCAGUCGUGAGGAAGGUGUUAAGGUUAAUAACCUUAGCAAUUGACGUUAGCGACAGAAGAAGCACCGGCUAACUCCGUGCCAGCAGCCGCGGUAAUACGGAGGGUGCGAGCGUUAAUCGGAAUUACUGGGCGUAAAGGGCACGCAGGCGGUUAAUUAAGUUGGAUGUGAAUCCCCGGGCUUAACCUGGGAAUGGCAUUCAAGCUGGUUAGCUAGAGUCUUGUAGAGGGGGUAGAAUUCCAUGUGUAGCGGUGAAAUGCGUAGAGAUGUGGAGGAAUACCGGUGGCGAAGGCGGCCCCUGGGACAAAGACUGACGCUCAUGUGCGAAAGCGUGGGGAGCAAACAGGAUUAGAUACC